UGGGGAAUAUUGGGCAAUGGGCGCAAGCCUGACCCAGCCACGCCGCGUGAGCGAUGAAGGCCUUCGGGUUGUAAAGCUCUGUGGGGAGGGGCGAAAGGCAGAAGUGCUAAUAGUACUCUGUUUGACGGUACCUCCUUAGCAAGCACCGGCUAACUCUGUGCCAGCAGCCGCGGUAAGACAGAGGGUGCAAACGUUGCUCGGAAUUACUGGGCGUAAAGCGCGUGUAGGCGGGAAGAUAAGUCGGGUGUGAAAUCCCUGGGCUCAACCUAGGAACUGCAUCCGAAACUGCCUUUCUGGAGUGAUGGAGAGGAAAGCGGAAUUCCCGGUGUAGAGGUGAAAUUCGUAGAUAUCGGGAGGAACACCAGUGGCGAAGGCGGCUUUCUGGCCAUCAACUGACGCUGAGACGCGAAAGCGUGGGGAGCAAACAGG
rnacentral:rRNA from 1 species